AUCAAUGUGGCAGAUAAUGCAAUGAAUUUAAGCUUCAUUUAUAGAAAUUUCUCUUUGAUA
rnacentral:tRNA from 1 species